UUAUAUAUUGCUAUGUCAGGGUAAGGGAAUUAUGACAUGUACAAUAACUCAUCGUCAACUAUAUUGCUUCCCAAGACAUGAUUUUACAAUGCCCGUAUCUAUCUAGAUGUACAAAUGAACACCACACGCCAACAAAAUUUAUCUCGACUGCAAUUUCAUACGGACUUCACUAAGCUACACCGUGAGCCUUCCAAAAUAUGGAGGACAUCAAUAUUCUGUUUAAUCUGUUUUGCGGGAUAUCUCAAGAUUCAGGCAAUUAUGUCUUCAGGAAUGUACUUGCAUUGCAUCUUCAGGAACAUUGCAUAUGUGGCCCUUGAGCGAGUAAUUUCAGCAACCAUUCUCUUUCCAGUUUAAAAAAGAAGACUCCCUCCGUUCAGAUUCCAAAGUUUUUAACCAAACAACCCAAAAUUGUCAAGACAAGUACCAGACUCAGG
rnacentral:misc_RNA from 1 species